rnacentral:rRNA from 1 species
UAAGCCUGUGAAGGUGUGUCGUGAGGCAUGCUGGAGGUAUCAGAAGUGCGAAUGCUGACAUAAGUAACGAUAAAGCGGGUGAAAAGCCCGCUCGCCGGAAGACCAAGGGUUCCUGUCCAACGUUAAUCGGGGCAGGGUGAGUCGACCCCUAAGGCGAGGCCGAAAGGCGUAGUCGAUGGGAAACGGGUUAAUAUUCCCGUACUUGGUGUUACUGCGAAGGGGGGACGGAGAAGGCUAUGUUGGCCGGGCGACGGUUGUCCCGGUUUAAGCGUGUAGGCUGGUUUUCCAGGCAAAUCCGGAAAAUCAAGGCUGAGGCGUGACGACGAGGCACUACGGUGCUGAAGCAACAAAUGCCCUGCUUCCAGGAAAAGCCUCUAAGCAUCAGGUAACAUCAAAUCGUACCCCAAACCGACACAGGUGGUCAGGUAGAGAAUACCAAGGCGCUUGAGAGAACUCGGGUGAAGGAACUAGGCAAAAUGGUGCCGUAACUUCGGGAGAAGGCACGCUGACACGUAGGUGAAGUGAUUUACUCAUGGAGCUGAAGUCAGUCGAAGAUACCAGCUGGCUGCAACUGUUUAUUAAAAACACAGCACUGUGCAAACACGAAAGUGGACGUAUACGGUGUGACGCCUGCCCGGUGCCGGAAGGUUAAUUGAUGGGGUCAGCGCAAGCGAAGCUCCUGAUCGAAGCCCCGGUAAACGGCGGCCGUAACUAUAACGGUCCUAAGGUAGCGAAAUUCCUUGUCGGGUAAGUUCCGACCUGCACGAAUGGCGUAAUGAUGGCCAGGCUGUCUCCACCCGAGACUCAGUGAAAUUGAACUCGCUGUGAAGAUGCAGUGUACCCGCGGCAAGACGGAAAGACCCCGUGAACCUUUACUAUAGCUUGACACUGAACAUUGAGCCUUGAUGUGUAGGAUAGGUGGGAGGCUUUGAAGCGUGGACGCCAGUCUGCGUGGAGCCGACCUUGAAAUACCACCCUUUAAUGUUUGAUGUUCUAACGUGGACCCGUGAUCCGGGUUGCGGACAGUGUCUGGUGGGUAGUUUGACUGGGGCGGUCUCCUCCUAAAGAGUAACGGAGGAGCACGAAGGUUGGCUAAUCCUGGUCGGACAUCAGGAGGUUAGUGCAAUGGCAUAAGCCAGCUUGACUGCGAGCGUGACGGCGCGAGCAGGUGCGAAAGCAGGUCAUAGUGAUCCGGUGGUUCUGAAUGGAAGGGCCAUCGCUCAACGGAUAAAAGGUACUCCGGGGAUAACAGGCUGAUACCGCCCAAGAGUUCAUAUCGACGGCGGUGUUUGGCACCUCGAUGUCGGCUCAUCACAUCCUGGGGCUGAAGUAGGUCCCAAGGGUAUGGCUGUUCGCCAUUUAAAGUGGUACGCGAGCUGGGUUUAGAACGUCGUGAGACAGUUCGGUCCCUAUCUGCCGUGGGCGCUGGAGAACUGAGGGGGGCUGCUCCUAGUACGAGAGGACCGGAGUGGACGCAUCACUGGUGUUCGGGUUGUCAUGCCAAUGGCACUGCCCGGUAGCUAAAUGCGGAAGAGAUAAGUGCUGAAAGCAUCUAAGCACGAAACUUGCCCCGAGAUGAGUUCUCCCUGAGACUUAGAGUCUCCUGAAGGAACGUUGAAGACGACGACGUUGAUAGGCCGGGUGUGUAAGCGCAGCGAUGCGUUGAGCUAACCGGUACUAAUGAACCGUGAGGCUUAACCUUACAACGCCG